rnacentral:rRNA from 1 species
GAUGAACGCUGGCGGCGUGCCUAAUACAUGCAAGUCGAGCGAACAGACGAGGAGCUUGCUCCUCUGACGUUAGCGGCGGACGGGUGAGUAACACGUGGAUAACCUACCUAUAAGACUGGGAUAACUUCGGGAAACCGGAGCUAAUACCGGAUAAUAUAUUGAACCGCCUGGUUCAAUAGUGAAAGACGGUUUUGCUGUCACUUAUAGAUGGAUCCACGCCGCAUUAGCUAGUUGGUAAGGUAACGGCUUACCAAGGCAACGAUGCGUAGCCCACCUGUGAGGGUGAUCCGCCACACUGGAACUGAGACACGGUCCAGACUCCUACGGGAGGCAGCAGUAGGGAAUCUUCCGCAAUGGGCGAAAGCCUGACGGAGCAACGCCGCGUGAGUGAUGAAGGUCUUCGGAUCGUAAAACUCUGUUAUUAGGGAAGAACAAAUGUGUAAGUAACUAUGCACGUCUUGACGGUACCUAAUCAGAAAGCCACGGCUAACUACGUG